GGAAUACAUCACACUUAUGAAUAUUUCAUUACACUGUAUGUUCUUUUCUAAAUCUCCUUCAAAUCUGGCAGCCUUUGUUUGAAUUUUAGAUUUUAAUGCAUACAAAAUAUGAUGAACUCCUCCGUAACAAUGCUGGUGUUUUAUUUAUUCAUUUAUUUUAAAGGACUAUAAUCUACAUACAGUGAGUCUAGCUGGAAGCCUAAACAGUUCUCUUUAUCUUGAUAGAAAGUCUUACAAAAACAUUUUUCUUAAUCUCUGAAUCACUUUCCUCUAUACUGCUUAAGUUUUUAAUUUAAUUAUUUUUGUCAGAGUAUGCAAUAUUCACAUAAAAUAAACAUUUUCCUCCUAUCAUGAAGUGCAUUCCAAUAUUUUCAGUUAUUCACAUAGAUGUCGUCUGCAUUAACGGCAUCAAUGAAACCCACUGCUACUGCUAAACCCCAUGCUGCUGCUAAAAAUAUCAGUGACCUUAUUAAUAUUUAAGACGACCCAUUAUGCACAGUUCAGCAUCUUUAUUUUUGAAACUACACCUCUACUAUGCCACAUGUGCAUAAUUUAUAGAUAAAAACAAAUAUUUUUCUGGACUACUGGUGUUUUUUGAGAUCCAGCAUUUGAUCCAUCAACAGAAACAAGCUGUUAUAACUCCAGUCCUUUUAAGGACAAACUCUGUUGAACAGCUACAUUCUCCUGAUAAGGAGGACUGAAGAGGUUCUUGUUUAUCUCUCAAGUAAAAAAAAAAAGUUAAACUUGAAAGAGAUUUUCCAUCUCAUUUCACAAAUGUUCUAUUAUUUCAUCAUCUCAGCAAUGUUCCACUGACAAACAAUUUGUUUUGAAGUAUGAAGAGCAUGUUAUGCAAUAUAACAAUAGUAGGUCACAAGUUCAGUGAGUCCGUGGCUCCCCUGCUAAAGCUUUGCAAAAGGCCUUAAAAUAAAUUCAUAUGUUAUUUCAGCAACAUAGUCUCACUGUCAAAAAUUUAGUAAGAAAUAUUUUUCUUUUGACUACAUUAAAAAAAAUGCCACAAAAUAACUAGUGCAAAUAUUACAGUUACUUCUAACUGUUGAAAUAAAAUAAUCAUUAUUGAAGUAUUUUUAACAAAUACUUUGCCUUUUUGAAAUUGUCCAGGGGCUCUAAAUUAGUAAUCCAGUACUUCUUGCUGUGACAUCGCAUAGAGGACCAUUUCUCUUAGCCACUCUUCAAAACAAGAAACACACAAGUGGUACUUUGGAGGACCAUAUGUCGUUUCAAGAGGUACAUUUUGGUCUUUGUCAAGCAAGACGUGUUGAUUUUAUAAGUCAUGAAACAGCAACAAUCUACAGUCAGAGAGAAUAAUUAAAACAUUUAAAACAACCACAACUGCGGCUGAAUGAAUACCAAAGUUUUUACUCACAGUGAGAAACUAUACAAACUCUGAAGCUCAGUGUUAGAAAACUGCAGCGGAAACUUCACACAGCAGUUUGAAGGUUUAUUUAUUUAUAGGCUUUUAAUGCAUAAUUGCAAGGAGUGUCAAUAAAUGUAAAGUGUGUUGCAAUUACAGUUUCUACGGGAGAGGAUUAGGGCCACAGAAAAAAAAAGAAAGAAUUCUGAGAUUAAAGUCAGAAAGUCAGAAUUCUGACUUUAAUCUCAGAAUUCUUUUUUUUUUUUUUUUCGGUGGCCCUAAUCCUCUUCCGUACAGUUUCACUUACAUUAUCUGAAAUCAUUUCUGCUGUUGUAAUAGUAAUGAUUCACAGAAGCUGAUUGCGGGCAUGCUCACUAUAAAUAUGUUUUAUGUGGUCGUCUCAAGAUAACAAGAAAAAUGUGUUAUCAUGAGAAAACAAGAGUCAUUAUCUCUUGAUAACGGUAUAUUUGCUUGGGGGAGAAGUGACACAUUUAUGAGCUCACAGGAAAAUACUUCAAUGAGCAGAGCUUCAUUUCUUCCAUUCAGUUUAACAACUGGCUGUCUCCAUGUUUGAAACUAGUUAACCGUUUCUACCUACAGUGAUUUCUCUGGCGGUACAUUUAAGUACAACUAGUGAAUGAACUAAUCCUAUACUAAAUAAUCACUUAAUUUUUAUCAGAAAACUUAACUGCAGCAUUUUUGGUAGCUAUAAUAAAAGACAAAAGCUAAGAUAAAAAUAACUAUACCAAGUACAACUGUAAACACAAUCAAAAUAUUGAAAUGUUUACAAAUCAAAAAGGAAAGGAAGAUUGAUGAGGAUUUAAUGUGCUUAACUUCAGGACCCAAAAAG